rnacentral:rRNA from 1 species
UAAUACGGAGGGUGCAAGCGUUACUCGGAAUCACUGGGCGUAAAGCGCAUGCAGGCGGCCAGAUAAGUUGGAAGUGAAAGCCUACGGCUCAACCGUAGAACUGCUUCCAAAACUGUUUGGCUAGAGUCUGGGAGGGGAAGAUGGAAUUAGUAGUGUAGGGGUAAAAUCCGUAGAGAUUACUAGGAAUACCAAAAGCGAAGGCGAUCUUCUGGAACAGUACUGACGCUGAGAUGCGAAAGCGUGGGGAGCAAACAGGAUUAGAUACCCUGGUAGUCCACGCAGUAAACGAUGAAUGUUAGUCGUUGGUAUCCUAGAGAUAUCAGUGAUGCAGUUAACACAUUAAACAUUCCGCCUGGGGAGUACGGUCGCAAGAUUA